rnacentral:lncRNA from 1 species
AAUGAUUGGGCAUUGCACAUACAGUUGUCCCGAAGGACUCAGUUGCUUCACAUUAUUCACCUUUGGCCCCGCCCCGGACCCCCUUCUCCCGAAAGCCAGGUCAUCAGAUGCCUCUCCUCCCCUAAUUGUUUGUCUCCCAGCUUAAAUAAGCAUCUGCUGAGUUUCCGAUAAAAAUUCUGAACUCUAAACCCUCUCUCUUCUUCCCAGGACGUUCCGCCUAUAAUCUCUUCAAGCUCUUCUUCCGCGCAUCCAGCCUUUUCUUAUCCACAGGAACUUUGGAAGCCAUUGGGCCAUCCUUCUUUCGUGC